rnacentral:rRNA from 1 species
UACGAAGGGGGCUAGCGUUGCUCGGAAUUACUGGGCGUAAAGGGCGCGUAGGCGGUCCUGAUCGUCGGAUGUGAAAGGCCUGGGCUCAACCUGGGAAUGGCAUCCGAUACGGCGGGACUGGAGUGUGGGAGAGGUUGGUGGAAUUCCCAGUGUAGAGGUGAAAUUCGUAGAUAUCAGGAGGAACACCGGUGGCGAAGGCGGCUUUCUGGACGACAACUGACGCUGAGACGCGAAAGCGUGGGGAGCAAACAGG